GACGAACGCUGGCGGCGUGCUUAACACAUGCAAGUCGAACGGAAAGGCCCUGCUUUUGUGGGGUGCUCGAGUGGCGAACGGGUGAGUAACACGUGAGUAACCUGCCCUUGACUUUGGGAUAACUUCAGGAAACUGGGGCUAAUACCGGAUAGGAGCUCCUGCUGCAUGGUGGGGGUUGGAAAGUUUCGGCGGUUGUGGAUGGACUCGCGGCUUAUCAGCUUGUUGGUGGGGUAGUGGCUUACCAAGGCUUUGACGGGUAGCCGGCCUGAGAGGGUGACCGGCCACAUUGGGACUGAGAUACGGCCCAGACUCCUACGGGAGGCAGAAGUGGGGAAUAUUGCACAAUGGGCGGAAGCCUGAUGCAGCAACGCCGCGUGCGGGAUGACGGCCUUCGGGUUGUAAACCGCUUUCGCCUGUGACGAAGCGUGAGUGACGGUAAUAGGUAAAGAAGCACCGGCUAACUACGUG
rnacentral:rRNA from 1 species